GAUGAACGCUAGCUACAGGCUUAACACAUGCAAGUCGAGGGGUAGCAGGGUAGCAAUACCGCUGACGACCGGCGCACGGGUGAGUAACACGUAUCCAACCUUCCCAUCACUCUGGGAUAGCCUUUCGUAAGAAAGAUUAAUACCGGAUGGUACUUUUUCAAGGCAUCUUGAGAUAGUUAAAGAUUUAUUGGUUAUGGAUGGGGAUGCAUUCCAUUAGAUAGUUGGUGAGGUAACGGCUCACCAAGUCUUCGCUGGAUAGGGGUUCUGAGAGGAAGGUCCCCCGCAAGGGUACUGAGACACGGACCAAACGACCACGGGAGGCAGCAGUGAGGAAUAUUGGUCAAUGGGGGAGAGCCUGGACCAGCCAAGUAGCGUGAAGGAUGAAGGUCCUAUGGAUUGUAAGCUUCUUUUAUAGUAGAAUAAAGUGAUCCACGUGUGGAUUGCUGUAUGUAUACAAGGAAUAAGCAUCGGCUAAGUCCGUGCCAGCCGCCGCGGUAAAAC
rnacentral:rRNA from 1 species